UACGUAGGGUGCAAGCGUUGUCCGGAAUUAUUGGGCGUAAAGAGCUCGUAGGCGGUGUGUCGCGUCGGCCGUGAAAACCUGCAGCUUAACUGUGGGCUUGCGGUCGAUACGGGCAUCACUGGAGUUCGGCAGGGGAGACUGGAAUUCCUGGUGUAGCGGUGAAAUGCGCAGAUAUCAGGAGGAACACCGGUGGCGAAGGCGGGGUCUCUGGGCCGAUACUGACGCUGAGGCACGAAAGCGUGGGGAGCAAACAGG
rnacentral:rRNA from 1 species